AGCUUUUUCGGCUUGAAGGAUGAAAAGGGAACUGAGUGAAAGUCUCAGACAGUCCCGCUGCUGUGAAUCUCCAUUAUACAACUUUCAGGAAAAGGCUCAUACCACUGGCAGACAGUUCUGCCGGGAAGGAUCCGGAAAGGGAGUAAGUCAGAAGACCUGCCAACACAUA
rnacentral:ncRNA from 1 species